CCUCAUUCCCUUCGGCACACCAUUCUCUCUCUAGCUUUCUUCUCUAACAAACAAGUCCGUCACAUAACAAGAAUCCAUAUUCACAAUUAGCAUGACAGGGCGAUCUUUGACAAUGGGAGAAAAAAGCUAUAAGCAAAAGAAACUGCUUAAGAAAUUGUCGAUUUGGUGAUUACCAUAAACAAAGCACAAAACAAUCUGCACCCCUCUUUUGCUCACCAGCAUCCCAAAUCUAUCAAGAAAAAUGGAGAAUUAUAAUGAAGAGAAACAGUAUCAUGUUGAUUAUUUUCUCUAAUGAUUCUUUUGUGGAGUAUUAGGGGUCUGUUUCAGAAUCCAGAUUGACGACACAUAUGGUAAAAAAAAAAAGAUUACAAGAAA